CUGUGGCAGCCACUCUGUGUCCCUCAGGCCGCCGUCCUGCUCUGCUGGGGCUCAGCCUCCACCCGGGGGUCUGGCCUGCGCGUGUCAGGCCCCUGAUGUCUACUGGUAUUUACUAGGCUUCCGUCAGGGUCCACAGGUGCUGGCACAGGGCUCCAAUGGGGAGUGAAAGCCCCUGCACCUGCCCUCACAGGCUUCGGUCUCUGCGGCCCUGUUCAAAUGACCUGGAGGGUCCAGGCUCCUGUUGGCCCCGGUCUCGCUCGCAGGGCCCAGCCCUGCAUGCCACAUCACUCACGGAGAGAAACCGGACACCGUCCCUGGGCCCGGUGAGUGAGACACUGGUCUUGGUGCAAAAUUUAAAGGGGACACUAAAAAUCUUACUAAUCGAGAUCAAUAUUAUUUCAGGGCAACACUCUUCAAAAUCGAAAGUAAUGCAAAAUUCAUGAUAAAAGUAUCAAACUUUUAAACAAAGGCAGGUUCAAGCCCCGCCCCAGGGCACCCUGAUUCCGCAGGAACCGGCCGCCUCCGGCUGUUUCCAUAGCAACCAGCCCUGAUGUGCAGGCAGUUGAGGCGCAUGAGACACGGGAGGGGAAUCCCUACCAGGAAGAGCCUCGCUUCCCGCUUCCCGGGCUUCCUUCAGAGGGAAAACAACAUUCCAGGGAUGAGUUUCUGUGGCUCAGGGAUUGGAGAAGAGCUCAGGGUUUCUCAUGAGGUUACAGCCACGAUGUCAGAUGGAGUUGCUUCAUCUGAAGGAGCAUCCAUCACCUGCAGCAUUUUCAGAGCAACCGUGACUGUGAAUGCAUUUGUCUGCAUUUUAAGGAGCUGGUGUUCAGCCUGGUAAAUAAAAAGAGAGGAUGAGAGAAGAAGGGAGUUAGAAAGAGAAACGCCGAGAGACGAAGUGAGCUAGGACGCCUGUGCGGACACCCAUCCUGAGAUUUCACUGUUUGCUGCGAUGAAUGGUGACUCCGACCCGGGGUGUCUUUGGGAUCCCUGAUCGUACCUCCCACUGCAGGCUCAGUAGUGUCUGCACAGCAGGAAGGCCUCUCUUGGCCCCUGGGGAAGGAGGGCCUUGGAAGCAGCCAGCCCAAUGGGGAGAGGCCAAGGCAACACACCACUCACGGGGACCCAAAUCCAUUUGACGUCACUACCCACCCCUGGGAGCAGGGUGGUCCUACUAACAUCAGUACAGGCAGCGGAAUACUUAAUUCACAUUCUCACAAAGAUCGAGCCCCUUUCUUCCAGAUUCGGGGAUGUGAUAAUUUGGGACAUCAAUUCAGAUGAACUUAAAUUAAAAAGAGAAUUUAUUGGCUUACAUCCUACAUCACCCAGGGCAGCUUCAGGCAUGGCUGGAUCCAGAACCCCAAGUGACGACCUCAAGGUUCUGCUUCUCUGCCAAGGCUGGCACUGGGAGUCCUGCCCAGGGUGAUCAUGGCAGCCACUGUCCAGCACCCGUUUCACAUUUGCCCAUCUCACUGUCCCCAAAGUGAAUUUUGCAGGUCAUGGGUUUUGAGUUGGGUUGAGCCAUGUGAUAACUGUGAGAAGGGCAUCAAGGGGAAGGAAAGCCUGCCCACCUCUUCCUCUGGUCAAUUCUACUGCGGAGUUUAGUCCUUCAGCUUGAGACCACCAGAGGAGGAAGAUGUGGGCAGCUGGGAGGCCUCCCAGAGAUGACCUUUGUCACCUCAUAAUUUCCCCAGAGCCCACGCAUGCCACUCCCUCUGGCCAAGGAGCCCCUAAGAGAGGGGUGGCCACUCAGGAAAGACUGUACUCACCUACGUGCCAGGCAUCGUGCGAGGGGCUGGGGGUACAGAGACGCCCAGGAUGCACAACGCUCCUACCAAGAGCUCCUCCAUUCUGCUAGGGAAGCGUGGACACUGCCCAGCCUCCCUCCCCUGUGCCGGGCAGCACAUCUCUCUUUUCCAUGGGGCUGACCCUAACCAGUACAAGGACGAUGCAGACCCCAUCCAACAGCCACAGUGGUUGGUUCUGGGAUGCUCACGUGACCCAAGCCGCACUGCAAGAACUCUUUCUGGGACUUGUCUGUAGAGUGACCAGAAAAUCAGCCUCUUCCCACUGGGGCUGCUAAUUUGGUAGGAGUAAAUGGGAUUGCCAAAGUCUACCUCCAGCCCACGGGCAGAGAGUUGACGCACAGAAUAAAGUCAAAGACAAGCAGAACUAAGACAUGGAGGGUGAGGUAGAACCUUGAGGCCAACAUUUGGGCUCCUUGAUCCACCCACGCCUGAAGCUGCUUCUGGGUGAUAUGGUUAAUAUAAGCCAAUAAAUUGUCUUCCUGUUUAUGUUCAUUUGAAUGGGAAUUCUGAGCCAAGAGAGUUCUAACUAAUACAGAGAGACCAACAGUGAUGCAGGAAGGCCAGGUUAAUGUACUAGGCAUUCAGGCAGGGGUGUGCAGAGGCACUAUGGAAACAAGGAGAAGGGCAGGGCGGGGUCUCUAAGGACACCUGCAGCUACCCAGGCAAAGGCCCUCAGAGCAUCCUAGGCAAGGGAACCGCAUGAACAUCGGCGAGGAUGGGGGCAGGGACUAUAUACGACUCGAGAUGGCCGUGAAGGGCUGCAUAGGGCAGGGAGUGGGGGGUGAGGCCGGGUGUCGCAAAGCCGUGAGGCGGGCAUUGUGUGGGCAGCACCGCCUCUUUCCGUCCUGGAGCAGUGAGGCGAUUAAACACUCGGGGACACACAGAGCAACCGAACGUAACCUGCAGAUAAAUCCUUGCUGCGUCUUCCUCCAGCAGCCUGGUGGGAUCCACGGACCACACGCCUCUUCCCGCAAUCCCUGCAUCCCUCCGGCCCGCUGACGGCUCAGCAGAUAAACUGAGGCAGGGCAGCUCGGCUUGCAGUAAACGUGCCAUGCCUUCCUCUUCCCAACCCCUUCCCCCUUUUGACCACAGGAUGGAUCCCUCUUUCCCCUUCUUCCCCCCUCCGUCUCCCUGCCCACGCCUUGAUCCAUGGGGCCCAUCAAGGCUCUCUGGGCAGCACCCCCAGCCUCCAGCCUGGAACCCCAGACCCUGCGCCUCUACCACCCUGCCCUGUUUCUGGGGCUGGUUUGUGACCUGAGAUGGGGGAAGGCCCAGCCUUAGAGCUCCAGGGGAGCUGCAGAGGGUUCCCGGAGGGACAGAGGCGGGCAGGGAGCUUGUCACAACUCUGAAAGCCACGCUGGCCUUCAGCUUGGGGUGGAUGCGAUGCCUGAUGUCCUCAACCCAAGGUCACGGAGAGCACGGUCUCCCAGGUUUCCUGAGCAGAGAGCAGGCAGGGUGAGGAAGGAAGCUUUACAGGGGCUCUGAUACCUGGAUGGGUCCCUCUGAAAGCGUUUGCCCAGCGGGGCGCCUCCCUCACACCCUCAACCCACCCCCACUGGGUCAGACCCUCAGGAGAGAAGGCCGGCAGACAGGAUUCCCGAGUUAUUGUCUGAUUUAGACUAUAGUGUCUAUGUCUCCUCAGAGCUGUGCUUGGAUAGGCCUGGAAGCUGGACCUGACCACUGAGCACAGCAAAUUCCUGCAGGAGCCGUUCUGGAGGAUUCCCAGCCCUCCUGGGCAGGGUGGGGACUUCCCUGAGCAGGAGCCAAGGGGAAGGAUGGGCACCUCCACCACGGCAGCCCCAGGAGGCCGAGACGAUCCUGCAGAGACCAGCAGAGGGGCCUCCUGGCAGGCCGAGCCUCCAGGGGCCAGGGGCCACAGCCUCCAACUCCCAGGAGGGACCUGACAGGCGGACUGUCCCAGGGAAUUCAGAGUUGAGGCUGCGGGGUCUCUGCACUGGGCUCUGAGUCUGUGCCCCCAAAGGAGCAAAGAAAAAGUCACCCAUGUGUCAAAGUCAAGGAUGAAAUGCCACCUGCAGAGGACCCGAGUUUAUGCAAUAACUCAGAGCAACGUGGGUGCAGAGAAGCUGCCGAGCUCACGCCCAGCAAGCCAGUGACUCAGCGCGGCCCCGAGGCCAGAGGGCUGGUGGCCUGUGGCUCAAGGCCGGGCCCACAGGACGGGGGCGGGGAGGGGCUGGAAAUCCCAGCGCUCGCCCUCGGCCUGAGACUUACAGGCACCCGAGCCAAGCAGGCACACACUGGCUGGCUCUGCCCAGCCUGGCCGGCCCAGGCUCUCCCCGCCAGGGCCCUCUUGGGAGCAGGUUUUUGUCGCAAUAUUUGACGAUAAACUGAGGCGGGGCAGCUCGGUUUGCAGUAAACGUGCAUUUCCUUCUGUCUGGACGCACGGGAUUCCGGUGGCCCUGGAAGGAGGAGGUCUGCGUCGAUCUGGUUUCUGGAGCAGAGGGCGCUGGCCUUGGUCGGUGGCUGCCUCCGUCUAGCCCCUCGGGGCACGCGGGACACAGCACCUCGAUCCCGCACGGUCCCCUGCCUCCUCCAAGGCAUCUGGCAUGGUUGUGACCGUGUGGAAUUUUCCCCGUGACAACAGAGGUCUCAGACUCAGGGACACGUGCACACAUACACACAUGCACACGUGCCUGCACAUGCAGGCAGCGCUCGCACAUGCCCGCACAGCUCCCUGCACUGUCCUGCCUGGCUGGCAGCUGGCACGGGGCACAUCAGCUUGGCUCUCAUGAGCCUCCCAGAGCCCCGGGGCCACAGGUGGCUGAACGGCGGGGCAUGGGCAGGGCCGAGGGAGCAGAAGCCCCGCUAGGGGCAGAGGGGCCUGAGGCCCUGAGGAUACUGGGCUGCAGGCACCGGUCAGCCCAGGCCAGCCCACAGGCCUGG